CCUACGGGGUGCAGCAGUAGGGAAUCUUCCGCAAUGGACGAAAGUCUGACGGAGCAACGCCGCGUGAGCGAAGAAGGCCUUCGGGUCGUAAAGCUCUGUUGUUAGGGAAGAACAAGUAACGCAGUAACUGGCGUUACCGUGACGGUACCUAACGAGAAAGCCACGGCUAACUACGUGCCAGCAGCCGCGGUAAUACGUAGGUGGCAAGCGUUGUCCGGAAUUAUUGGGCGUAAAGCGCGCGCAGGCGGUUCCUUAAGUCUGAUGUGAAAGCCCACGGCUCAACCGUGGAGGGUCAUUGGAAACUGGGGGACUUGAGUGCAGAAGAGGAGAGCGGAAUUCCACGUGUAGCGGUGAAAUGCGUAGAGAUGUGGAGGAACACCAGUGGCGAAGGCGGCUCUCUGGUCUGUAACUGACGCUGAGGCGCGAAAGCGUGGGGAGCAAACAGGAUUAGAUACCCGCGUAGUC
rnacentral:rRNA from 1 species